AUUAAAUUGUAUAUAUUAUGAUAGUAAAAUGGUACAAGAGCUAUUAUCUUCUUAAAACUAUGAUUUUGAAUUCCGGAAUUACUUACAUUAACAAAAUAUGAUAGAAAUAGACAUUUGCUUUAGAAUGAGCUAAAUACUGAAUUUUUAUAUACACAGUAAGAUUUGGUAGCAGUUUAAAUAUUUUCAGAAAACUGAAUCCAAGACUCUUUAUUUAUGUUUACUGCAAUGCAAGGAGAGAGUCUUAAGUCAACUAUUAAUAUAUCUGUGCUAUAUUUUCCUCUAAGGAUUUGGGAACAGAAUUAUGCUGUUCUCAUGAAAACAAUAUUUGUCCAGCCCUUACAGAGGGUUGCAAUGCACUCUAUUACUUUUAAAACAAAAAUAUCACUCAGUUUAGAUUUAAAAUGUAAUGCUUUUCUCUUUUCUUUUCUUUUCCCCCCCUUUUUUUUUUCUUUUUUUUUUUCCUUUAUCUUUCAGCCCAAGAACUUGCCAGUCAAGAUGAAAAACUUCUUCUAAUGGAAUCCAGCUUGAAAGCAACUCAAGAGCAGCUAAGUGAGCAAACAGCAGAAACAGUUCACCAAGAACAGAACAGUAGAAAAUCACAGACAGAGCUGAAAGAAGAUCCUGAGAGAACGUAUUAUAGCUUCUGAUGAAGAAAUUAGUGAUUACAAGUGAGUAACUGCUUUUAUAGUAUUUGAUAAACAGAAGACAUUAAAGACAGCAGCAAAUUCUUUUAAUAAGUAUUAUGUUAACCAUUUAUUUCUGGCAAGAUGUAGUGUAAAUAUGUUCUAUAGCUACUGAAUAAACUAUUAAAUCUAAAAGAUUGAUUAAUGUGUACUUUAAAAUAUAUUUUGCACUUAAAAUUAAAAAAAAAUACUUUUGUUAGUGGUCUAUUUUACUUUUGGAAUGAAAAAGAGAAAAAGAUUCUAUGGUGUUGAAGUAGAAUAAUAUUUGUUACUUCUAUCUUAAUAUUAUUCUCAUCUUCCUAUUUUUAGCAACUGAAGUUUAAAUAUGCAUUUUAUUUUCUUUAUUUUUUUUAGAAGCUGUCUCUAAGCAAGAUGCUGCCAAAUAAAAGGAAAUUUAGUGUUUGAACUUUUAGUCACAACAGUAAGGCACAUAUGAGAUUGCAUACUAUACUUGAGAAAAGUUUAAACAGAAAAAUGUACCUCUAUUCUCAGAAAAAAAAAAAAUAGUAUCUAUAAGUUUAUAAGUUUAAAUGUUAGCUCUGAAGAUUUUAAUUAAAAAAUACUAAUCUUCAACAAAUAACUUUUAUAAAUUAUAAUGACUUUAAAUGUAUUUUUAUAUUGAGACACAAAAUGAUACAUUAUUCAGAUUUUUCAAGAUCUACAGUAUGGUAGAAAUGAUUCACUACUGCUUCUUUUUGCCUUAUUGUAUGCAAACUGUUACAUAUGUUAUAUUAAAAAAUUGUUAAAUGUAGAGACAGAAACUCAAGCUGUUUUAUAAUAUCAUAGAGUGCAGGUGAAUGCUUUAUAAAGAGAGCAUGACUGAAAUAAAGUUUAUUCAUUCAGUGGUAGGUUGAACAUUUAAAGAGAAAUGUUUUAUCUCAGAUUUGUACCAAGCAUCAAGGACUGUCUCUACAAAUCUCCUCUGAGAGAAGCUUUGCUAGGUUUAGAUGCAAUAAACAUAAUGUUUCAAAAUCACAAUAUGACAAUGUUAUAAUUUGUAUGCUCAGUGUAAAUAGCUUCUAGACUGGAACUUCACUCUGUAUUCAAAAGUUUAAAGCCAAUUUUUCUGCUGAAGACUGGGAAAAUCUCUAUGGGAAGAAAAAAACGCACAAGAACAAAAACAUUGUCUACAGUAAUAUGUCUUCAUUUCUUUAAAUAAAAUAGCUUGGUGGUUUUCAACUUCUAGUUAUACCUCUAAAGACCUUACUACUACUUCUCUAGGGACAGUAGUGUCACUGAUUUGCUUUCCUAACCUAUCUUGACUCCUUUGCUACAGUAAGCUUUCUUAACCAUUUCAAGUGAUUCUUCAGUUGCCAAAAUGCCAUGUUAUGCAAAUUCCUGUAGAUAUUUACUUCAAAAUUAAAAGGUUAAAAUCUUCUAGGAGUACUGGCUGUAAGUUUGUGUGAUACAGUGAUAGAAAUGGUAGGGGAUGUGGGAGGAUUGAAACCUCCAGCUGUAUCUGAUCAAAUGUGUGAUGAAAUACAACACUUGAUAGAGCAGGAAUUUUGCAAAAGUGAAAUGAGUUUCUCUGUUCUUCAAAUAGAAAGACAAAUGAUAAACACUACAAGACUUUGAGACACAUUUCUUUCUUUUUUUUUUUUUUUAUGAUUUCAUAGUAUACAUUUUGUGAAUAAAUAAAAACUUGGAUGAAUCUGUUAACAUACAAAAAUUCACUAAGCCACCUUUUUUUCUGUUUAUAUUUGAUUUUCUUUUUCUGCUCUAUUUUUCUAUUUCUGUUUUCACCAAACUAAUAUGUUUGUUGGCUUUGGAAGUUUGUUAAUUUAGUACAUGAGCAUAAUGUAUUUUGAGUUAGGGGAGUCUUCAGGUUACAGCUCUAUAGAUUGUCAAGAUUAUUUUUAUAGGCUCUUAGGUUAAUUUUUAUGUUUAAGUUUAUGACACUUGUUUUUUAAAAGUACUGUGAUAUUACUGCACGAUUAUAGAGAAGUAUUUGUUGAAUUAGGAAAAUUAACGCUGUAAAUUUAAAAUUUUAAUAAAGUUGAAAUUAUAAAGAUAAAAACUAAGAAACAAAAUUGAACAUUUUAGAUAUUAAAUUCCCCCUUAAAGAUAACAUUUUACUGAAUACCUGAAAACAAACAUGUUGUGCCAGACAGUAUCUGCUGUGCUCUGUUCCUUGAGAGGCAGAAAGAACAAUGGAUCUCUUUCCCCAUGGGUGUUUGGGGACAGGGAAUGUCGUAAAGGUUAUGUUCAUUUACUAUGAAGGGCACAGCACGUGUUGUAAAGUAACAUCCCUUUGGUGCUGACUUAUUCGAAGUCACAUAGUCCUGGACUUUACCUACCACCCUACUUAGUGAUUCUGGCAAAUGCAGAUGGUAUCAAGGUGAGAGCUUAGGACCUUACAAAGAAAAAUGCAGUGAAGCAUAAAUUGGUGGAUUUAAACUACCGAGAGAGUUAAGAUUCUGCUAUAGCUGUUGUGACGCCUAUAAGGAGAAAAGUCCAUUUUUGUAUGCUUUUAUUUCCUUGUAAUGUAAAUGUACAUUAAAGGAUAUUUCUCCUGGAAGUGGUGUAAAAGGAAAGUACUGAAGAGCAUUUAAAAAACAAUAAAACUAGCAUUAUUUGUGCUAGUUUACAAAAAUAUUUUUUUAUAAAAUAGAAUAAAAAUAUUUUACUAACUGUACUGGAUUCUCAAAAUGCAUGUAUUCCAGGUAUAACCAAAAUUUGUAAGUAGUCACAAGCUAUGUUUGCUAUAUACUUAUUCUGGAUGAAAUAAACCUAAAGUUACACACACUCCCCCCCAGCCUCCAAUAUAAGCCUGUUACACUUGAAAGAUUUGUUCGGAAUGUCCAGUGGGAACCUGGAAAUCGUAAUAAUUUGUAGUAUCGAUUGUGUGAAGCUAUGCAGCUGGGGCCUCUAGUGAAUAGACAGGAAUAGACAUUUUAUUGAUUAACUUUUACAGUCAUAUUUUCAAGACUCUGCUGCAACAUAAUUUUCACUUCCCAGCUUUGUGCUGCUGCAUCAUGAAACUUGAAUUCUUCUCUCUUAACAUUUACCCACCUGAGGGAAACAGUAUGGAGUUGUCUCUUUUAAGCUGCGCUCUGCAGAAAUGCAUAACACUUGACACAGUGAAUUCUUCAAAAUUUACCCUCCGCUGUUGCAAUAAAAUGAAAAAUAUUAAGAAGUGAUAUUAGUAUCACCCAAGUUGAACUGCCCACUCCAUAUGUUAGACGCCAUUGUUUCAUACUUCCUAGUAAUUUUAUCCACCUUUUUUUUUAUUUUUAUUUUCUAAGGGGCUAAGAUUGUGGCAAAAAAAAUUGCCACCCUCCUCACACCACAGAUUCCAGCAGUGCUUAAUGGAGUUUGUCUCAUAAUUAAAUAGGUGAUUUUAUUAGUUACUGGAGAAGAAUAAGUGCUUCCCUGAAAAUGUGAACUAUGAAUUAAAAAAUACUCAUUUUUAAGAGUGACAGCCUGUGUCAAAUAAAAUUCCUUGUAAAAGUACAGAAAGGGCAGUUUUUCAUUAUAAUUAUCAAUCUAUCAUUUAACAAUGUAAAAAUAUGUACCAAAAUAGUAAACAGACUAGUCUUAGAAAGCAUUAUUUCACAUUUCUGAAGUUAUUCGUUUUCAGAAAAGAAAAAAAAAAGGGGGGGGGGGGGCAUUUUGCCAUUUUGUAAAGAACUGUUGCAUAUUUUCUGAUUUUUUCCCAGUAUGAUUUGCAUUCUAAAUCAGAUGCCCAAGCCACUAUUCUUUCAUGCUGAUAAAAUUGCUGGUAAAAAUCUCAAUCUAUCAUUUUUUUUUUCAUCUAAUGACUGUUUCUUUGUUGUUGUUGUUGUUGUUAUUUUACAUGGUAACUUUUACUUGAAUGCUGUUUGCAAUGUAAGUUUGAUAACAGCUUUCACAAAAUAGGACAAAUAUUCACAUACAUUGCCACUGGUGCUAAUAUGAUUUAGACUUCUGUCAUUCUAUUAUUUUUCCUAGAGAUAUUUUAUUACUAGUGUCUUCUAAGUAUCUAAAUGUUUAAGAUAUUUGUGGUCAUGUUUCCUUUUGUCCUCCCGCUCAUCAGAUACAUCUCAGUGUGCACUGUAUGGAGACACCAAAGCAGAAAUACUCGCAUAGAUGACAGAAUGUUCAUCUUGUUUGCAGUUGUCUAAACUCUUACAGAAAAAAUCCUGAUUUCUCUUAAAAAAGCAGAAAACUGUGUGGAGAACUUUAAGGUAAGAAUAAAAGGAUCAAAGAAAGUUGGAGAACAGGUGCUACUCAAGGCCUCAGUAUCCACUGGACCUGAAAUAACCUUGAAACAGAAUCAUUCUCGAUCAGAUGAAUAACGAGAAAAUUUGUUAAGAGUGCAUAGAAUUAUAUUUUUCUAAUGGACAAACUUCAUUGUACAGCAAUAUGAGAAAAGAAAUAUCACAUCCUCAUGACUUACUAGACCUCAGUCUUUCAAACAUAUACAGAUGUCAGCAGUUUCAUGAAGCCAAUUACUCUAUAACCAUGUGAAAAACUGUUCAUGAGUUUGCAAGAUUUAAGAUGAAGAUUGUUUUAAUAUUAAGGAUUACUCAGUAUUUUAUUUAGUAGUUGCAAUGCUUUAUUAUAGAAGUUAUGUUGUAAAUCAUGAUGAUUGUAGAAAAUAAAUGAAACAACUGAUCAUUUUACUUCAGAUUCAUUUAACACAAAUCCAAAUGAAUGUGAUUUGUGCAUGUGAGAAUGCAUGUGCAUGCUCUUGUGGUUUAGUUAAAGAAGGAAGAAGUCAUGUUCCCUCUUCUGAAUGUUUGUAGAGAUGUUUAAGUGAGAACAAAGUAGUAAGUUAGUAAGAUUUUUAUGUUCUCAGUAGAUAACUACCAUAGUAGUCAGACCACUGUGAACAGCAUGUUAGCUUCAUUGCUCAAUUUCAUGUUUAUUUUUCUAUUUUUUUUUCUAUUUGGAAAUAUGCAUGAUGAGGCUUCUUGUAGUUAUAAAACAAACAAACAAACAAAAAAACCUUUUUAUCGUGAAUUAAAGCAAUGAAAAUUUAUAAGAAAUUAGAAAAAAAUAAUUGAAAUAAUUAAGAUAUUUAUCUAUAUUAAAUAAGUUAGAUAUCAUAUAUAGCAAAAUGUUUUUCAGGAAGUGCAAUUGCAGAAAUUCACAACUAGUUUUAUUUCUUGCAUUUGACCCGAGAAGUCUGAUUUAAUUGUAGAAAAAAUAAAGGCCAGAUAGCUCCAUUACUUUACCUGUUUCACCUUAAAAAAAAAAAAAAAAAAAAAAAAGGAAUAUCUGAACCAUUUUAAUUGACUUAUAUUGUUUAGUGGGAUUUUAAUGCAUAAGACAUAAAUCAUAAACAUAGAAGUAUAAAAGUAUAGCUAAGAAAUGAAAUGUACAUGAACUCUUUGCUUUUUUAAAAGUACUGCAGAAUUGAAGACUUGAAGUGAAAAUUUAUGUUUAUUGAAUUUCAUAGUACCUCUGACACAAACACAUAAAUAAAUUACUGAAAUAAUAGUAAUAAUAUAGCAGAUGACCAUCCUAGAGUAGAAUAUGAUCCUACACAUUUAUGUCUUCCUAGGCAGUAUAGUUACUACUGGGAAAAAUUGAAUUGAUUGCAACGGAAAUAUACCUGACAGUAAGCAUUUACAGUGGCAGGCAAAAUUAUUUAAGAAAAGAGAAUAUAAAAUUAAGAAAGACAGAUGGAGUCAUAAGAGUGAAAUACAAAUAGUCUGAAUCAGGAUUGAUUUCAACAUAAUGUGGUGGAGGAAUCCCCAUUUAUUGAUCAACUUUAAAGCCUAUGCACAGCACUUAAAAAGAUAAAGUAAGCAAGGUCAGAUAAUCAAAGCAUUUAAAUAGUAAAAACAGCAACUGCCACUGUAGACUGCUAAAAUAAAUCCAUAAUACAAAUUGCUUUAGCAAAAAGUGGAUGAGUAGCUGAUCUUCCUAUUGAACUUUAUACUGUUCAGUGACCACACUGGGAAAAGGAUUGGGAGAAAUGCCUUGAAGAUCAAUAUUGAGUGAGAUGUAGCAGGGAUUCAUUCUGAACAUGAAAGAAUUACAAGUAUGAGAGUAGAGAUCUUGAAGAAAUGUCAUCAAGAAGGGACUAUUCUUUUAAAAAUAUCACACAUAUUACAAAAAAGUGACAUUAGUUGAUAUUCUAUCAUGAUCUCAGAACACUGAAAUCUUAUUAAAUCAACUAUUAUUACAAAACAUGAAAAUAACAAAAAGAAAGUGAAUAAUAUUACUAAAAAUACUUUGAAAAAAUCAGUAAAUUUUGUCUUAAAAAAAAGAUUUUAAAAUAUAUUAAUUUAUUAAUUAAACUGGCACGUGCAUAUGCAAUUAACACAUUUAAGUAUUAUUAUUUCCUUUUUUUUUUUUUCUAAAUAACAUUUUAGUAGAUAUUUUUAUUGCAUUAUAGAAACUGGAAGGAUCUAUUGCAAAUGCUCCAAAUUUCAAUUCAACCUAAGCCUUUACAGGCUUUUCAUUAAAAUAAAUAAAUAGAUAGAGAGAUAGAUAUGUGCUAUCACUUUCAGUUCUACAUAACUUUCAUCCAGCACUGUUUGAGACGUAUUUAUGAGGAAAAAAUCCUAGAUGUAGCAGUACUACAGUAGCUCAUUGUCUUAUAUCUAUUGAAUCAAUUGACACUUGUAUUAUAUUAUCUCAUGAGAAGUGCUGAAUUUUCAUGUACUGUUGCCCCUUAUAAAUAUAGAAUACUAGGUUUUUGUUUGUUUGUUUGUUUCAUUUCUGGUCAAUCAUCUUACUAAUAAAAAAGUAUUCUUGCCAGAAAGUUAUUACUAUCAGUGUUUGAAAAUACAGGGCUGCUCUGAAAGUAAUGCUUUUGUUUUUUUUAUGUUGGCCAACAACAUCAGACACAAAUGUGGGAGGUAUGACAGUAGAUGUUGAACUUUCCCACCAAUAUUCUGUUACGUUUUGUUGCCCUGUGACAGAUGGCAACAGAGCGGGCAGUCUGUCAACAUGACACGUGACCUGGAAGUGCAUAUGAAGUAAAUGUAUGUCAUUGAAUUCCUCCAUGUGGAAAAAAUGGCACCCACUGACAUUCACUGGCACUUGCUGAAUGUUUCUCGAGACCCAACAGUGAAUGUGAGCACAGUCAGGUGGUGGGUGGUGUUUUUCAGCAAUGGUGACAGUGUGUCACUUCCUCUGGUGCAGAUUUUUAUGAGCACAGCAUGCAGGCUAUAGUUCAUUGCAGACAAAAAUGCAUAGUUCAUCACGGUAACUAUCUUGUAAAAUAAUGUUUUGUAGCUGAGAAUUUGCUGUAUCAAGUAGUGAUCAAAUAUCAAGUAGUGUUGUUGUACUCUAUGUAUUUCUUGUAGUUUCCAUGGAAAUAGAUACAAAGAAUUAUUUUUUUAGUGACCUAGGUAUUUGUAUUUGAAACAAUAAUACACACACACACACAAUUUCGAGUAUUUCAGAAAUAUAUAUAUAAAGUAGAUAUAGUAUUCAUAUUUUCUAUGAACACCCAGUUCAGCAAAAUAUAGUAGAAAACUGAGUCCCAAAAGCAUAAAGUUUCUUCACUAUUGUAAACCUAUAGUAUACCUUCUUGUAAUGAAUAAUUAUUUACAACUAGUAUUGGUUCCAUAUUUACAGUAGGAAUUGCUGAUUACAGCAAUUUCAAUAGCAAAUUUGUGAAACAAUAUUCACAGUUGUUAGAGAAAGGUCAGCUUCUUUGCAUUCAUUAGGAACUUGGAGGACCAUUCACCGUAUUUUUCCUUUGGGGUGCUUAUAGUUAUUGAUUUGUACAUAUCUAUAGGAAAAAUUAAUUACAAUUAUUUUUCAUUUACCACUGGAGGCUGUGUAAUAAUAAUUGUAAUAACAAAGUUCAGCACAAAAAGAGGAAAAAAAAAAAGAAAAAAGAAAAAAAAGAAGAAACAGCAAAUUAAAUAGCAAUAAUUUUAAAAAAUUAAUAUUGUUAGAUUUAACUUGUUUAAAAUAAUAUCUUCUGAAUUGCCUGAGGAAAUCUCUUAUAUAACUUCCAUUAAUAGUCACAAUGUUUUUAUUUUAAUGGAAGUGCGUAGGGCACUUACAGUGAUGUGAUAUAAGGUAUUCACAACUUUUCUCCCUAUGAGUGAUCUGUAAAGAUGCUUAUAAACUCAGAAAACAUUUAAUCACAUGCUUAAUUUUCCUUACAUAGGGAACUUAAAUCAUGUAACCAGUAUAGUUAUUAACUUCAAAAUGUGAUUUAAGUGAAAGAAUAAUCCUGGCAUAAUAAAUUAAAUUAUUUGCAUGCUUACAUUUUUACUCUAGUUCUUAAGGGUCUUUCAAGAACAAGAGCUAUAUAAAACCGAAUGGAAACAUUAUAGUCAUUGUCUCCUAACUCCUUAGGUCUGAAAAAUGUGAGUAAUGCCUCCAGAAAAGCUUAAAUGGGAAUCACGCCAAGAAUGUGGGACCAGGAAAGUCAAAUUGUCAGACUGAGACAAAACUUUGUGGAAAUGGAAGAAGAAGUAAAGAACUUAAGACUUACACACAGCAAUGAUGCUCAGAUGGUAAGCGCUGAUUUAUUUGAAAUCCUGUUUGUAUUAUAUUGAGAAAUACUGUACAUGAUUAGUGCAUAUUUCUGUGAACUUUUAACACUUCAGAUGGAUUAGAAUGUCUUAUUUUGAUCAUAUCCAUAUUGUUCAUUGUGAUAAGAUUAGGUCCUGAGUCAUUAAAAAUUGUUUGGCUUAUUUCCAUUACAUCCAAGCAUGUUUUAAGUAGAAAAAUAUAGAAUACGGUUUUCCAUAUUGUGCACACAUAACACAUGUUUGAGAUUAAUCAAACCAUAGUCACCUCUAAUUAACAGCAGGGAACAAUUUCAACAUGGGACAGAGCCAGAUGACAAAGAAGCAAAGCACAUAUUUAAAAGAUGCAGCAUACUAAGAAAAAAAAAUGGAAGGGAGGAUUAUGACUUAAGAAUACUGAAAAGUUUUUAAACCUGUGGUUCUGUGGGUAUGAUUAAUACAAACUAUCAAGUAGGCAAAAGUGUUAUUUUGCUUUGUUUUUUAGCAUAGGCAAAAUUUUCCAGAACCAAACUGUUGCAAAGAUAAGUUGUAAAGGUAAAAAGGUAUUCUGUCUAAGUUAAUAUUCUUGCCCUUUGCCUUUCAAUAAUUACUAAACUAACAAAGGAGAGGACAGACAUUCUGGGAUGCACUUCUUUGGUCAUUUUUGACCACCUUGUGCCAACCAAGCUAAUUUAAGACACAAAAACAUGAGUCUGCCUGGAAAAAAAAAAAAAUCGUAAUUAUUUUUUUUUAGUAUCUAAACCAGAAAAAAAAGAAUCUUAUCAAGGUACCACCUUUCUUUGAGAUGUCAGGAAUCAAAAUUUUUUAACAGAAUGCAUAUCAGAAUUCAAGGUCUCCCCCUUUUCUCCUUUCUCUCUGUAUACACACACACACAUACUCACAUAGAUUUUUUUACAUAUCAUUCUUGGAAAAGAACAUAUUAUUUUCAUUUAAACUUUCCAAGAUAAUUUGGCCUUGAGCAAAAACUCAGCAGGACAAAUUUCAAUAUAAACAAAUGAAGUUUGGCAAAGCUCUAAGCAACUGAAAACUGUGUCUUAUAAUGGAAAAAUUAUGAUAGGCAGCACAACGAUAUACCAAGAUAUUACCAUCCUGCCAACAGAGGAAAAUAAAUCAACCGAAAUUCCUGACAACAUCAUCUUCCUGAAACUGAUGAGAGUAUGCAAAGGCUUUUUGGCUAAUAGAUGUCAAAUGAAACCUUGAAGACAACAAAUAAAAUCCAUAAUGGAAGAAACUUAAACUUAAAACAUAAUGUUUCCUUGAUCAUAAUUUUCAGUGCUGUAUUGUAUGCCAGUCUGUUAAGGAUAACAGUCUGCAAUAGCAUACAAAAAUGCAGGAGAAUUUUUUAAAACAAGGAAAAUAUCCUGUUCUUGUUCUUCCAUUCUUCCAAAAUUUUAAACAGAUCUAUAGGGGAAGGCAUUGUUAUUCAUCAUUAUAGUCAAUAAAACCAUUCUUCUAUGAAAACCAAGAGCUGAUUCUUUCUUUAAUUCUUUGUUUGUUUGUUUUGCAUGAGUUGUUCUGCUUAAGAGGAGGCAAUGGUUCUGUAUGAUUUGGACUUCCCUUUUAUACGGGUAUUUUAGCUGUCAAAGUUCAUAGUAGCAAUAUGUGUUCUUUCUCGAAGUCUAGCAAUCCCUCAGAUUACACAAGGUCCCUUAAGGAAUUUAUAAGUCCUUUAAAGCCUGUAAAAAAUAACAGAAGUUAUUUUCAUAAUUUCUAUGCCUCUGUUCUUACAUCCUGUUUUGUAGAAUAAUUUUAAGUAGAAAUCUCCAUGAGCCUCGCAAUUCAGACAGUCAGUUUGAAGUAGAAAUUUUAUUGCAGCGUAUGUAUUAAGUCCAUCAUUGUCCUUAUGGCUUUCUGAGGAGACUUGAAUGUUCUGUGGAAGAUAUAUUACUAACUACUGUUUUAAUACAAUUUGUCAGAAUGACUUUGGUUUUUUUUCUUUGCAACUAGAAAGCAAAAUCAGUGAGUCUUAUGGCUAAAUAAAAAUAUGGCUAAACAAAACAUAUUACUUUAAUUUUAAUUAAUAAUUAAUUAAUAAUUAAUACUUUAUUACUUUAACCAGAGGUGUCUUCUUGAUCUGAUACACACUGGUUGUUUUUCACUCAUCCUCUUGUUCCAUUGCUUCUAAAAGUUUGUGUAUUCUUUUAUAACUAUUUGAUAGCUGUUUGAACAGGUUAUCUAUUUUCUCACAGACUGGAAAAUUUCCUAGCGAGGCUCAGCCAACCCCAAGCAUGUUUUCUGUUUCAAGUAUUCGUAGGAAGAGUCAGUGGGAAUGCUUUUAGAUGUGAUCAUCACUACUCCAUUAUGGUAGUUUUUUGUAGGUUUUUUUUUUUUUUUUUUUUUUUUUUUUUAAGUAACUAACUUGAAAAGAAAAACUUCCUGCAUUUCUGGAGAGUCUUUGGGAGGGUAAUUACCAGGAAGUUGCCAGUGAAAAAUGAAGAAUAGUUGUUUCCUUGGUACUGAGUUCUUGAUAAUUGCCCAUACAAAUUCCACAAUUAUUCUCUCAUCCCCAUGCACCAAAUGUUUUUAAUUAUACCAGAUUGAUAAGAAUCUGAAUACUCUGAGAAAUGAGAUGAACUUGUAUGAAGACACAUAGGAUGGUAGUCAAAUGAGCUGAAGUUUAAAUAUGAACAACACAAUGCAACACUGAGGCCUGCAUGACUGUAAGAAUGUUAGGAUAGAAAAUUGUCUUUGGUAGCAGCAAAGAUUAAAAAAAUAGUAUCACUUAAAUAAAUACAUGUGAAGAAGCCAAAUUUGUAACAAAAAGGAAACCAGUAAAUGAAUUCACAAAAGCCAGCUACUACAUAGCAAAUCUCUGUAUAAAUGGGCUGAGAGUAUGUACCAAGAAGAAGGCAAGUAUCUAUUCUUUUUCAAUGGGAAAAACAAAAAACAAAAAACAAACAAACAAAAAAGCUAUUUCAUCCUUACUUUGGGAAAAAGGCACACAAAACCAAAGCAAAAAAUGCCUCACUGACUGCAUCUGUCCAUUCUGUACUGUAAUUUGUUUCCCGCUAUGAAGAUUUAGGUUAAAUUCAUUUCUAUUAUUAAAGACAAAUAAGCUGCAAAAGAACUAAUUCUCUGUCUCCAUCUUUUACAUGUAUAUUUAUUCAUAUGAAUGCACUUUUGUUCAUUUAUUUUUACUUCUACCUUGACAAAGCUGUGCAAAAAAUAACAUAGUUUGAUUACUCAUAAUUUGCAUUUGUGUAAUUAAUAGGGAUGAAAAGGAUUAAAAUCAAUGGAGAAAUAUUUAUUUGUUUAAAUUGGAUAACUAUGGAAAAACUAUUUGGCAGGAAUGAAAGCUUUUCCAUCUAAAUUACGUCAUAUAAUUUAAACUGUUUUAGUUUUUAAGCUUAAAAAGCAUGAAAAUCACAAAGCAGAACUGGAAGAAGACACAGAAAAAUACUGCCAUGUAAAGGAAGAGCCUUCAGAACAAGGGUCUCAGCUCAAAAUUAGCUAGCUGGUCCAUUCUGGAGUGGGAAAACUGAUAAAAUGCCGCAGUACUCAGGUAAUACCCUUGAUACAAUAUGUGGAAGGGAGACAGUGUUUGAAGUAAUAUCAGUGAAUGUAUCAGAGUACUCUCAGAGAAUUUUUCCAACGGAUAAGGAAAUAUUAUUUAAAUAAUACUAACUGUAAAAUUCACUCAUGAGUGAUUGAGAAAACAUGAGAAAUAUUGUUGAAAAUAUCAAGUCAAUAUAACAGCAGCAUUUCUUCUUUUAAAAGUGUUGUGGGUGGGAUUCACCUUGUUGAACUGGAGGUAGGAAUAUUUGAAAUAGAUGUCUAAGUUCCAUUGCUGUCAUUGGAGACUUAAUCAACUCAGUGAGUGAAAUCAAGGGCUAUCAAUACCUUUCAUUACCCAAAGUGAACCUACAGAAAAGCUGGAGAGUGACUCUUUAUCAGGUAGCAUUGUCAUAGGACAAGGGAUAGUUGCCUUCAACUAAACUAGAUUAGACAUUAGAAAGAAAUUCUUCACUAUGAGGACAGUGAGAUACUGAAAUAAAUUGUCCAUAGAAACUGUGGAUGCUCCAUCUCUGGGAGCAUUCAAACGUAGGUUGAGUGAAGCCCUUGGCAACUUGAUCUCAUGGAAGGUGACUGUGCUAUGGCAGGGAAUUAGAACUAGAUGAAUUUAAGUUCUCUUCCAAACCAUUUUAUGAUUCUAUGACUAAAUAUUGAUCCAAUCAAUAUUAAGGUUUUCAGAGGAGCUGAAAAUCAAUCCCAGUGACAAUAUUAUUCAUUGUGAUAGAACACAUUCACACACCGUAAUGCAGACAUCCAAAUUUGGGUAAGAAUAAUCAGAUUAGAAAAGUUAGCCUUUUUGCAGCAAUUCAUUAUAUAAUACGGAAUUAUUUUAUUUAUUUUUGUUACUAAUAAGAGUACUAGAUGUUUCACAAGCAUAGAUACUGGUCAAUUAUCUGAGCAAUAUCCAAUAUAUAAAUACACAAAGUUAGAAGGAAAUGAUCAAUGCCAGAGAGAAAUAAAAGUUAAAAUAAUACAUGCUUUUUCUUCUGUGUCUGAGAGAAUGUGAGUAGAUGUGAAAGUUGGAAAACCAAAAGAAUUAGUAGUAUGACAACAUUCCUUUUCUACCCUAGCAUUGUCAAAAGAUAACAAGAUUAAUUCUCUGCUGUAGUAUUUCACUACAGUAGUGUGUUAAUUUGAGGGGCUUGGCUGAGCCUUAUUCAGCAUAUAAUUAGAAUUUACUGAACUUUAAUUUCUUAUCAUCUUUAGGCUGCAUUAUCAAAGUGUUUAUAUUGAAACAUUCAAAUGUUCAGUUAAAAAUAAACUUCAGUUUGUCAAGGAUACAUUGUAUACAAAUUCUGUGGAAAUAUUUGAAUAAAAUUGUUCACUUUUGCUUUGUGAGAAAUGCUUUGCACUUUACAUAUUUAUAACAUAAUGUCAUUAGAGUAUGUAUCUUAGAAAUAUAGCAAUUUCCUGGUGAAUUUAUUGAAUAAAUGCUUAUCUAAUAAGUAAUUUGAGAGUAGAGAAAGAUCUAAUGAAAAGCUAAAUACACAGUGAAAUCCUAAUCAAGCAAUUGAAAUAGUUACUCAUGAUAAAACUAAGAUUAUCAGAGUAUCAGAACACAAAUUACUCCAUUAAUCUUUUGAAUUAGUCAGUUCUUAUUUUCUGAAGCUAAGUAACUUGGGAAGGUACACUCAAGGUUUCAUCUUUCUGAAGACUGUAUUUAUUACCUUUACUUUCAUAAAGAGUUCAUUAGAAAGAAUAUUACAGUGAAAUACGUUAACUUUUUAGCCUGUUUUAAUGAGGUCAUGUGAGUCUUUAAUUAUCUGACAUAAAACUGCUUAGUUUUACGUAGUAUCUACAGAUACUAAUUAGUAUCUACAUAUAUACAUUAGUAUCUACAUCAAUUAGUAUCUACAGAUAUUAACGGAUUCAUAUGUCAUAAAGCCAGAAGAAACGCUGUUAUUGAAUCUUAUAUGUGGCACAAUGCAGGCCACAGGACUUCACUGAAUUGAGUAGUUGUAAGAGAUUAUUCUUUUAUAUGAUUGACUCAAAGUUUGCUGAGGAACAAGUCCAGGCAAGUCCUGGGCAAAGGUACAGAAAUCUUCUGUCUGGAGGACACUGAUGGACAGGUCCUGGCUAAAGGAUUGUGAAGUCCUUUAAGGAGCACAGAUGGACGAGGCCAGGGGCAACGAGAGAGGGAUAAGCUGCUGAUAAUGGCUGAGAAAUGGUCUUUUGUGUGGACUUAUCUAGAAGAAGAUGGCCAUCUCAGGAGCUACGCACAUGACUCUUGCUCAAGCACCCAGGGAUGUCACGUAGGCAGGAAAAAGAGGAGGAUAAAAGAGGGUCUAACAACCAUGAGGAGAGGGUUUCUGCCAUCAGAUCCCUCACCACGACGGACUCAAGGUUUCUGCCAUCAGAUCCUUCACUACGGACCAUAUGCUGAUGGACUUCCCUGGGCCUGCUACCUGAGACCUGCUGCUUCCUCCCAGACUUACUCUGCGGCUUCUUCCUGGACCCACCCGGUACCUGCACCCUCUCGUUGCCCAAGACCGGCCUCGCUGCUCCUGCCCUUCAGCCUCGGACCAUCAGAACAUCGUGCAACAGGACUACUGCUGGUGGUGACUAUCCCCGCUUUAUGCAAUUCUUGCUUCUUUCUAUCUUUUCUAUCGCUCGCCUUCCCUUUCCCAUCACCCCAAUCCAUAAUAGUGUCCGUCCUCCCCUUUCUUCAUCUCCCUUAUUAACAUAUGUAAUAAACUGGUCGGACCAACAUUUGAACCGUUGUUUCUUAAUCUCACGCCGGGCAUACAUAUUUCAAAGAACCUCCUCUCCCUCCUAUAAAUUGGAGUGAGACAGUAGUACAUUAUGUCUAAGUAAAUGUGAUUAAAAUGGAGUAUAUUAAAAUGGAGCAUACAUUUUUUAUACAUUCUUGACUUUAAAUAUACACAAUGUUAGAGAAUUCAUUACGGUCUUUCACAGGUUGCCUCAAUAGUUAGUAAAACAUAUAGCAUGCUGACUGUUCAUCAUUUUAGCAUCUUUCUUGGAAUGUUAUACAAAUCUCAACAUAUAUAAAAAUAGUUUUUAUGUCAUCUUUAUCAAUAACAUUUGAAAUAUCAUAAAACUGAAAGAGCAGAUAGUUUUACAAGAUGUGUUUACAGUAAAUCCACAGUAACUUUGGUUAUUAUAUUAAUGCACAUUUGUUAUAUGUAUCUACAGCUAACACAAAUUACUGUGGAAUUAUGAUAUUAGCUGUCCUGAUAUUUUGCUUGAAAGAGAUAAGUAACUACCCUCCUUGAAUUACUUGAAUCACCCUCUUAAAACCUAAGAAAUAUUAGCACAGAAUUAACAGAUAAAUUAAUCUGUACUGUUUUGGAAGUUUUUAAGGUUGUCAAGACCAAACACUGUAAAUAUGGCCUAGAAAUUCUUUUCAAAAGCACUUCAAAAGCACUUAGAUAUGUUUUACGUAGACAAUUUGAAAUAUAUUUAUACUUAUGUGAUUGCAGUCACUUUUAUCCUAAGACUAAAAUACCAUACAUUCUUCAGUUAUAAUAGAAUAUUUCACAUGAAGGGUUCUACAGAGAUCAUCAAGUCCAACUGCCUGACAACUUCAGAGGUAACCACAAGUUAAGCGUAUUACUGAGGGCAUUAUCCAAAUGCAUCUCAAGUAAUAUUAGGCAUGGGACAUCAGUCAUCUCAUUGCAGUGAGAUAAAAGCCUGUUCCACUGUUUGAUGAUAAAUAAAUGUCCAGUAUAGUCUGAAACUCCCCUGGCACAGCACAGCUGUGUGCCACUCCUGUGCAACCUGCAAUCAGCACAGAAGAUACCAGGGAGCAGAGACCAGCACCUCCCUCUGUACUUCCUCUCCUCAAGGAGCUGCAGAGAGCAGUAAAGUCAUCUUGUAGACUCCUAUUCUCCAGGCUAGACAGUCCAAGAGUCCUCACCCUUUCCUUACUAGACAUGUCUUCCAUUCUGAUUACCUGCUUUGUUGCCAUUGUCUGGACACUUUUAGAUAUCUUAAUAAUGUUUUUAUGUUGUGGGGCAUACAUUAUUCAAGGUGAGGUUGCACCAACUCCAAAUAUAUCAGGACAAUCACCCCAAAAAGCAGUUUGCCCUUUUGGCAACCAACACUGCUGGUUCAUACUGAGCCUGCUAUCAUCAGCCCUCCUAGAUCAAUUUGUUCUGAGCUGCUCUCCAGCCAUUCAUCUCUCAGUUUGUGUCAUCUCUCAGGUACUGUGCCAGGCAUAGUACCUGACAUUUACCUUUGUUGAACUUCACGCCACUGUUUCCCCAGUGCUCCAAUCCAUCCACAUUGCUCUACAAGACCUCAGCAACACAACUGACCAUCUACUAGCCAAAUGGGUCUCCAUCACUACAACACUUUGAGUUCUACCAUUGAGCCAGUUUAUCACCCUGCAUAGUGUGAACAUACUUAUCUCACAGUUGGACAAUUUGUACAGAAAGUUGCCAUGAAGGAUCAUAUCAAAGGCUUUACUGAAUUCUAGAAAGAUGACGUACGCUGCCUUCCUUCAUCCACCAAGUGGGUAAUCUUAUAAAAAGAAAUCAAAGCAAUGAAGACAGGGCUUUCCCUUCAUGAACCCAUAUUGACUAUGCCUGACAAUGGCUUUGUCCUUCAAGUGCCUUUCAGUAACACUCACUAUAAUCUUCUCCAUAAAUUUUUAGGGUACUGAAGUUAGGUUAACAAGUCUGUUACAGAUUUGUUACUUUUGUUACUUUGUUUUCAGUAAGUUCUUUCUCUUUAUUUUUUGUUUGUUUGUUUAUUUUACUUUGUUUUGGGAAGAGGAGAGCUUGUGGUGGGGAGUGGGGUUUUGUCAUCUACGUAGUGCUAUUGAAGAUAAUACUACUUUUUUAUAUUUAAACAUUUGAUCCUCAGAAAGUUUCAUCCUAUUCUUUCAUGUUUACGAGAUUUUUCUCUCUUCAAACACUUUUUUUCUUUGUAUGAACAUUUGCAAAUGAGUGUGUACAUGCAUAUCAAUGACCAUGAGUACAUGGGGCUUAUCUGUUCCUCAAAAAUAUGACUUGGUCAAAAUUACUUUUGCAUAAAGAACAACUGAAUUUCAGCAACGUAAUCCUUUCCUACUCAUAAGUCUUAAAUUAAUGUGCAAAAUUGAAUUAAUCAGCAUAUUUAAUUACAAUUUUUUUGUUAAACUUAUUUAUCUGUGAAGGUGUUAUGUAUAAUUUUUGAAAGUUAAUGGAUACAUUAUUAAGCAAAGAGUAACAGCUCCAACAAACCAGAAUUAUUUAAGUCUCUGAGGAAAACUAAGAUUUCCCUUCUGAUUCAUCUUUAAAAUCCUGUUUUCAACAUCUUUGCAAAGUUAAUUUUAGUUUUUUAAAAGCCAGGUAACUUAAAAUAAUUUUUCUGCCCUUCAUUCCUCUUUUGUUUAUCGUGUUUUUCAGAAUGUUGUUCCAUUAGUGACUUUGAAGUCAGUGAUGUUAGAUCAAAUUAUUCAAAUUACUAGCUUUUGUUGUUGCUGGUGCUGUUUUGUGGGUUUUUUUUCUUUUGUUUUGUUUUGUUUUGAUUUUCCUCUUAUGAAUGUAAUUUACUGGUGUAGUGGUUAUUAGAACAGAACUUCACAGUGUUUGUGUUUUGUCUUAAUUAUAAGUAAUUUUAUAUCACUAAUAUUAUCAGUAAACUUGUUUGUGUAUAUUUUACUCAAUGAAAUGUUAAUGCCAAACUUUGAACAGAAACUGUACUGACUACUUCUAUCUUAAAACAGACAGUACCAGUAGCUGAUUGUUUUACUUUUGUUUCCUUUCAUCAAACAACUCUAUUCAGAAGGUGAAAAUUUCCUUUUCUUCUUUUUGAUGGAAUUUCUUUUCAUUUCUCCCCUUUCUUUUCAUAGUUUUACAAACGGUCAGUUACACAGUUUAUUACAAAAUAUGUUGAGGCACAUGCCUAGAAGGUGUGUUGAAUGGCAUACUCCAUCUACUUGUGGCAUCUAUGCAUAUUAAGUUGUUAAAAGCAUGUUUGUCAAACUUAUAUGACAGUUUUAGCAAUUGUAAAAACGCAUAUUUGCUAUGCUAUGCUAGAAGAAGAGGAAGAAAAAGAAGAAGAGAAGUGAAAAAAGAGAGGAGAGGAGAGGAGAGGAGAGGAGAGGAGAGGAGAGGAGAGGAGAG
rnacentral:lncRNA from 1 species